rnacentral:rRNA from 1 species
UUCCAGACUCCUACGGGAGGCAGCAGUGGGGAAUAUUGCACAAUGGGGGAAACCCUGAUGCAGCGACGCCGCGUGAGUGAGGAAGUAUUUCGGUAUGUAAAGCUCUAUCAGCGGGGAAGAAAAUGACGGUACCUGACUAAGAAGCCCCGGCUAACUACGUGCCAGCAGCCGCGGUAAUACGUAGGGGGCAAGCGUUAUCCGGAUUUACUGGGUGUAAAGGGGGCGCAGACGGCAGCGCAAGCCAGGAGUGAAAGCCCGGGGCCCAACCCCGGGACUGCUCUUGGAACUGCGCGGCUGGAGUGCAGGAGGGGCAGGCGGAAUUCCUGGUGUAGCGGUGAAAUGCGUAGAUAUCAGGAGGAACACCGGUGGCGAAGGCGGCCUGCUGGACUGCGACUGACGUUGAGGCUCGAGAGCGUGGGGAGCAAACAGGAUUAGAUACCCGAGUAUA